GUGGGGAAUAUUGCGCAAUGGGGGAAACCCUGACGCAGCGACGCCGUGUGAGGGAAGAAGGCUUUCGGGUCGUAAACCUCUGUCAGAAAGGAAGAACCUCCCAAGUCCGAAUAGGGCUUGGGACUGACGGUACUUUCAAAGGAAGCACCGGCUAACUCCGUGCCAGCAGCCGCGGUAAUACGGAGGGUGCAAGCGUUAAUCGGAAUCACUGGGCGUAAAGCGCGAGUAGGCCGCUUUGUAAGGCGGACGUGAAAGCCCUCGGCUCAACCGGGGAACUGCGUUAGAUACUGAGAGGAUUGAGUCCUGGAGAGGGUGGCGGAGUUCCGUGUGUAGGAGUGAAAUCCGUAGAUAUCCGGAGGAACACCGGUGGCUAAUGCGGCCACCUGGACAGGUGCUGACGCUGAGGCGCGAAAGCGUGGGGAGCAAACAGGAUUAGAAACCCCAGUAGUCC
rnacentral:rRNA from 1 species